rnacentral:lncRNA from 1 species
UUAGAGGUGUUACACUUCCACUUUGUCUUCUUCCUCAAUCUUUAACCCUAUCCGCCGCUCUUUCCAGGUCAACCCUCCCAUUCUGGCCAUUGACACCCCAUGCCUGUCCCCUCGCUCUCAUCACCGACCACCCUCCCUCUUCCUCAUUGACCCUGCCCUCUCACCUCGUUGCCCCCUUACCAUACCAUUCCAUCUUCCCCCUUACCAUACCAUUCCAACUUGCCCCCCACCUCAGCAAACAUUCCCAGCAGCCCCUCAAUGACCCCCUUCACCUAGCCACCAUCCAAAUUCACCCUUACCCACCUUCGAGCAGGAACAUCCUCAACCCCGAACCACAGUCCCUUUCCCCUCCUUCAAACUAAAAACCACCCCAUUGUCCACCCCUCUCCCCGAUCUCCCUCUUCCGUGUUGAACCACCGCGCCCCUUUUCUCGCCGCACCCAUUGAUCGCCGCUCAAACCUCCAACCACCAUCUCAUUGUCGAUCCUCUCUAUUUCC